UACGUAGGGUGCAAGCGUUAAUCGGAAUUACUGGGCGUAAAGCGUGCGCAGGCGGCUUUGCAAGACAGAUGUGAAAUCCCCGGGCUUAACCUGGGAACUGCAUUUGUGACUGCAUGGCUGGAGUGCGGCAGAGGAAGGUGGAAUUCCACGUGUAGCGGUGAAAUGCGUAGAGAUGUGGAGGAACACCGAUGGCGAAGGCAGCCUUCUGGGCCAAUACUGACGCUCAUGCACGAAAGCGUGGGGAGCAAACAGG
rnacentral:rRNA from 1 species